UCUGAGUCUUGCAGUUCUGGC
rnacentral:siRNA from 1 species